rnacentral:rRNA from 1 species
CCUACGGGUGGCAGCAGUGGGGAAUAUUGCACAAUGGGGGAAACCCUGAUGCAGCGACGCCGCGUGGGUGAAGAAGUAUUUCGGUAUGUAAAGCUCUAUCAGCAGGGAAGAAAAUGACGGUACCUGAUUAAUAAGCCCCGGCUAACUACGUGCCAGCAGCCGCGGUAAUACGUAGGGGGCAAGCGUUAUCCGGAUUUACUGGGUGUAAAGGUAGCGCAGGCGGGAGUGCAAGUCUGAAGUGAAAUGCCGGGGCUUAACCCCGGAACUGCAUUUGAAACUGUGCAGCUAGAGUGCAGGAGAGGUAGGUGGAAUUCCUGGUGUAGCGGUGAAAUGCGUAGAUAUUAGGAGGAACACUAGUGGCGAAGGCGGCUUACUGGACUGUAACUGACGUUGAGGCUCGAAAGCGUGGGGAGCAAACAGGAUUAGAUACCCGUGUAGUC